CCUUCUACACCCCCGAGGGGCUGCGCCACGGCACUCGCCUGCACACCCACCUGAUUGGCAACAUACACACUCACUUGGUGCACUACCGCGUAGACCUGGAUGUGGCAGGCACCAAGAACAGCUUCCAGACACUGCAGAUGAAGCUAGAAAACAUCACCAACCCCUGGAGCCCGAGACACCGCGUGGUCCAGCCGACCCUGGAGCAGACGCGGUACUCCCGGGAGCGCCAGGCGGCCUUCCGCUUCAAAAGGAAGCUGCCCAGGUACCUGCUCUUUACUAGCCCCCAGGAGAACCCCUGGGGCCACAAGCGCAGUUACCGCCUGCAGAUCCACUCCAUGGCCGACCAGGUGCUGCCCCCAGGCUGGCAGGAGGAGCAGGCCAUCACCUGGGCAAGUGGGGUGAGGAAGAGGAAGAGGAGGGGCUGGUCUUGCUGUCUCACGGUGGCAGAGGCGGAAGAAACUCCAAAUGAAAGUGGACUUGUGGGCUGCGCGCGGUGGCUCAUGCCUGUAAUCCCAGCACUUUGGGAGGCCCAGGUACCCCCUGGCAGUGACCAAGUACCGGGAAUCGGAGCUGUGCAGCAGCAGCAUCUACCACCAGAACGACCCCUGGGACCCGCCCGUGGUCUUUGAGAAGUUUCUUCACAACAAUGAGAACAUUGAAAAUGAGGACCUGGUGGCCUGGGUGACGGUGGGCUUCCUGCACAUCCCGCACUCAGAGGACAUUCCCAACACAGCCACACCUGGGAACUCCGUGGGCUUCCUGCUCCGGCCAUUCAACUUCUUCCCAGAGGACCCCUCCCUGGCAUCCAGAGACACUGUGAUCGUGUGGCCUCGGGACAACGGCCCCAACUACGUCCAGCGCUGGAUCCCUGAGGACAGGGACUGCUCUAUGCCUCCCCCUUUUAGCUACAAUGGGACCUACAGACCUGUGUGACCAACCCCCA
rnacentral:sRNA from 1 species